AUUGAACGCUGGCGGCAGGCCUAACACAUGCAAGUCGAGCGGAUGAAGGGGGCUUGCUCCUGGAUUCAGCGGCGGACGGGUGAGUAAUGCCUAGGAAUCUGCCUGGUAGUGGGGGAUAACGUCCGGAAACGGGCGCUAAUACCGCAUACGUCCUGAGGGAGAAAGUGGGGGAUCUUCGGACCUCACGCUAUCAGAUGAGCCUAGGUCGGAUUAGCUAGUUGGUGGGGUAAAGGCCUACCAAGGCGACGAUCCGUAACUGGUCUGAGAGGAUGAUCAGUCACACUGGAACUGAGACACGGUCCAGACUCCUACGGGAGGCAGCAGUGGGGAAUAUUGGACACUGGGCGAAAGCCUGCUCCAGCCAUGCCGCGUGUGUGAAGAAGGUCUUCGGAUUGUAAAGCACUUUAAGUUGGGAGGAAGGGCAGUAAGUUAAUACCUUGCUGUUUUGACGUUACCAACAGAAUAAGCACCGGCUAACUUCGUG
rnacentral:rRNA from 1 species